rnacentral:tRNA from 1 species
GGUGUGUUAGUUCAGUUGGUUAGAAUAUCUGCCUGUCACGCAGGGGGUCACGAGUUCGAGUCUCGUACACACCG